rnacentral:rRNA from 1 species
AACGAACGCUGGCGGCAUGCCUAACACAUGCAAGUCGAACGAGACCUUCGGGUCUAGUGGCGCACGGGUGCGUAACGCGUGGGAACCUGCCCUUAGGUUCGGAAUAACUCCCCGACAGGGGUGCUAAUACCGGAUAAUGUCUUCGGACCAAAGAUUUAUCGCCUUUGGAUGGGCCCGCGUUGGAUUAGCUCGUUGGUAGGGUAAAAGCCUACCAAGGCGACGAUCCAUAGCUGGUCUGUGAGGAUGAUCAGCCACACUGGGACUGAGACACGGCCCAGGCUCCUACGGGAGGCAGCAGUGGGGAAGAUUGGACAAUGGGCGAAAGCCUGAUCCAGCAAGGCCGCGUGAGUGAUGAAGGCCUUAGGGUUGUAAAGCUCUUUUACCCGGGAUGAUAAUGACAGUACCGGGAGAAUAAGCUCCGGCUAACUCCGUG